rnacentral:lncRNA from 1 species
CUCCACCCCCAUGGACCUAGCUGAGGACAGGCACUCCUGCCUUCCACCUAAAUUUUGCAUUUCCCGAGACACCUUGGCCCGCCAUUCCCCCGUCCUGUGCCUGUAAAAACUCCAGGCCCUAGAAGGCACACACGCACAAGUGGCUGGACUUCGUGAGGAAUUCAUAGGGGAAGAAGAUGCAAGUGGCUGGUCAUGGAGAGGACUUUUUGACGAGCGCCGGCAAAAGAGCACAGCGAAGAAAUCCCAGGAUACGGAAAGCCCUCUGUACUUGCAACAAGAGUCUCACUGUGUCAGCCAGGCUGGAGUGGCAUGAUCUUGGCUCACUGCAACCUCCGUCUCCCGGGCUCAAGCAAUUCUCCUGCCUCAGCCUCCAGAGUAGCUGGGAUUACAGGUAUGAGCCUUGCAAGAAGACAUACAUAUUUUGCUGAUUGCCAAGGGGAUAAUGCAUUGGGUAUAAGAAGAAGGAAAGUAGAGGAACCAAUUAAGAAAUAUUUACUACAAUUAAGAAGAGAUGAUAAUAACUUCGACCAAGGUGGAGGCUAUGAAGAUGGAGCAAUGCGAAUACAUGGAGACAUGUUUUUGAUGUAGACUCAGCAAGAAAUUCUAAUAUAUUAGAUUUUAUGUUUUGGGAGAAAAAGAGACAUCUCCAAGAUUAUGGCUUGAAUAGAUUGGGACUAAUAGUGAAACUUGAGAGUGAUCACAUAUGGAGAUGAAAGAUUGAAAGACCUCUCGCUGAACAUAAUAUAGAAGGUCUAAAAUACUCUCAAGUCCCCUCCAUCUCAAAAUGACAGCAGUAACAGUGAAAACUAAACAUAGCUGUACCAAGGAUGACCCAGCAAGAAGGUUCUCAUCAGUGGCUGACCAGAUGCCAGAAACAUGCCAUUGGAGUGCCC